CCUACGGGUGGCAGCAGUGAGGAAUAUUGGUCAAUGGGCGAGAGGCUGAACCAGCCAAGUCGCGUGAAGGAAGACGGCCCUACGGGUUGUAAACCUCUUUUGUCAAGGAGCAAAGAGAGUCACGUGUGACUCUUUGAGUGUACCUGAUGAAAAAGCAUCGGCUAACUCCGUGCCAGCAGCCGCGGUAAUACGGAGGAUGCGAGCGUUAUCCGGAUUUAUUGGGUUUAAAGGGUGCGGCGGCGGGUUGUGAAGUCAGCGGUUAAAGUUCGGGGCUCAACCCCGGGACUGCGGUGGAAACUGCAUGGCUUGAGUGCUAGAGAGGUAUGCGGAAUGCGUGGUGUAGCGGUGAAAUGCAUAGAUAUUACGCAGAACUCCGAUGGCGAAGGCAGCAUACUGGACAGUAACUGACGCUGAGGCACGAAAGCGUGGGUAGCGAACAGGAUUAGAUACCCGGGUAGUC
rnacentral:rRNA from 1 species